UCCCAGGUGGUCUAGUGGCUAAGGCUCUGCGCUCCCAAUGCAGGGGGCCCAGGUUCAACCCCUGGUUGGGGAA
rnacentral:tRNA from 1 species